GGCAAUUCUCGGGUGAUGCACCCCAGAAUCGGGUUCCCUGCUCUCUGGUUCCAGGUGCGUCACCCAAGAACCGCA
rfam:Myotis brandtii contig172204, whole genome shotgun sequence.